UACGGGGGGAGCAAGCGUUGUUCGGAUUUACUGGGCGUAAAGGGCGCGUAGGCGGCCACCGCAAGUCGACUGUGAAAUCUCCGGGCUUAACCCGGAAAGGUCAGCCGAUACUGCGGGGCUAGAGUGCAGAAGGGGCAACUGGAAUUCUCGGUGUAGCGGUGAAAUGCGUAGAUAUCGAGAGGAACACCUGCGGCGAAGGCGGGUUGCUGGGCCGACACUGACGCUGAGGCGCGAAAGCCAGGGGAGCGAACGGG
rnacentral:rRNA from 1 species